rnacentral:rRNA from 1 species
UACGAAGGGUGCAAGCGUUACUCGGAAUUACUGGGCGUAAAGCGUGCGUAGGUGGUUCGUUAAGUCUGAUGUGAAAGCCCUGGGCUCAACCUGGGAAUGGCAUUGGAAACUGGCGACCUAGAGUGCGGUAGAGGGUAGUGGAAUUCCCGGUGUAGCAGUGAAAUGCGUAGAGAUCGGGAGGAACAUCCGUGGCGAAGGCGACUACCUGGACCAGCACUGACACUGAGGCACGAAAGCGUGGGGAGCAAACGGGG